UACGUAGGGGGCUAGCGUUAUCCGGAAUUACUGGGCGUAAAGGGUGCGUAGGUGGUUUCUUAAGUCAGAGGUGAAAGGCUACGGCUCAACCGUAGUAAGCCUUUGAAACUGGGGAACUUGAGUGCAGGGGAGGAGAGUGGAAUUCCUAGUGUAGCGGUGAAAUGCGUAGAUAUUAGGAGGAACACCAGUUGCGAAGGCGGCUCUCUGGACUGUAACUGACACUGAGGCACGAAAGCGUGGGGAGCAAACAGG
rnacentral:rRNA from 1 species